AUACGUAGGGGGCGAGCGUUGUCCGGAAUGAUUGGGCGUAAAGGGCGCGUAGGCGGCCCGGUAAGUCUGGAGUGAAAGUCCUGCUUUCAAGGUGGGAAUUGCUUUGGAUACUGCCGCGCUUGAGUGCAGGAGAGGUUAUCGGAAUUCCCGGUGUAGCGGUGAAAUGCGUAGAGAUCGGGAGGAACACCAGUGGCGAAGGCGGGUAACUGGACUGCAACUGACGCUGAGGCGCGAAAGUGUGGGGAGCAAACAGGAUUAGAUACCCUGGUAGUCCACACUGUAAACGAUGAAUGCUAGGUGUAAGAGGUAUCGACCCCUUUUGUGCCGGAGUCAACACAAUAAGCAUUCCGCCUGGGGAGUACGGCCGCAAGGUUGAAACUUAAAGGAAUUGACGGGG
rnacentral:rRNA from 1 species